GACAGAGGGUGCAAACGUUGUUCGGAAUUACUGGGCGUAAAGCGUGUGUAGGCGGCUACAUAAGUCGGAUGUGAAAUCCCUCGGCUCAACCAAGGAAGUGCAUCCGAAACUGCUGAGCUUGAGUACGAAAGAGGAUCGCGGAAUUCCCGGUGUAGAGGUGAAAUUCGUAGAUAUCGGGAGGAACACCAGUGGCGAAGGCGGCGAUCUGGGUCGAUACUGACGCUGAGGUGCGAAAGCGUGGGGAGCAAACAGG
rnacentral:rRNA from 1 species